UACGGGGGGGGCAAGCGUUGUUCGGAAUUACUGGGCGUAAAGGGCUCGUAGGCGGCCAACUAAGUCGGACGUGAAAUCCCCAGGCUCAACCUGGGAACUGCGUCCGAUACUGGAUGGCUUGAAUCCGGGAGAGGGAUGUGGAAUUCCAGGUGUAGCGGUGAAAUGCGUAGAUAUCUGGAGGAACAUCGGUGGCGAAGGCGACAUCCUGGACCGGUAUUGACGCUGAGGCGCGAAAGCCAGGGGAGCAAACGGG
rnacentral:rRNA from 1 species